rnacentral:tRNA from 1 species
GGGGUUGUGGCUCAGUGGUAGAGCGCUUGCCUAACAUGUGUGAGGCACUGGGUUUGAAUCUCAGCACCA